CCUACGGGAGGCAGCAGUGAGGAAUAUUGGUCAAUGGGCGCGAGCCUGAACCAGCCCAGUAGCGUGAAGGAUGACUGCCCUACGGGUUGUACACUUCUUUUAUAAAGGCAUAAAGUGAGGCACGUGUGCCUUUUUGUAUGUCCUUUAUGAAUAAGGAUCGGCUAACUCCGUGCCAGCAGCCGCGGUAAUACGGAGGAUCCGAGCGGUAUCCGGAUUUAUUGGGUUUAAAGGGAGCGUAGAUGGGUUGGUAAGUCAGUUGUGAAAGUUUGCGGCUCAACCGUAAAAUUGCAAUUGAUACUGGCAGUCUUGAGUACAGUUGAGGUAGGCGGAAUUCGUGGUGUAGCGGUGAAAUGCUUAGAUAUCACGAAGAACUCCGAUUGCGAAGGCAGCUUACUAAACUGCCACUGACAUUGAUGCUCGAAAGUGUGGGUAUCAAACAGGAUUAGAUACCCCAGUAGUC
rnacentral:rRNA from 1 species